GCUCCUUAAAGGGGCCGCGCCCGGCCCGGCGUGGGGUGCGGUGUGAGGGGCCCCUGACCUGAGCCCCCUGUCACGCCGGACGGCCCUCCGUGUCACACCGAGGCCUGUCCCGCUCCCUCGUUGGUCCCUUCCAAAUUAGCCAUGAGUUGUUCUUUGGGCCCCCGGGAAAGAGACCAGGACCCCACCUCAGCGCGCCGGUGGCCCUCCCUGUCACAGCCCCCAGCAGUGCUGAGGUGAGGGGGCAUGGGGACACGUUCACGUUCUCUGAUAUUAAAUAGCCCAGAAGGUAGAAUCACCUUUAUUUUUAACCAUUUUAUUUAGACAGACAUUUUUCUAAGUGUACUACGUGAAGGAUUUCAGUCCCGUUCCUCUUGAUCAGGUCUCAGAAAGCAACUUGAAAUGUGAGCAUGAGAAGAAUUACCAAAGAGACAAUCACUCGGGGGGUGUUGAACCUGAGAGCUUGAGCAGACAGUGUGUGGAACCCAAAGGAACGGCUGAUUCCCUUCUGCUCAGCUCCGUGCGCAGGAGGAGGGAAUCUCAAGGUGCAGAAACGUGCUAAAAGGAGGCGAAUCGUAAAACCUUCAAAUCAGUGCCCAAAAUGCACUCUGCAGGGCACGCUACAAAGUGCCUCCCUGCAGCACUACGGCAGCUUUGUGCCCUAGGCGAGCUCUAAAGGAGCACUGAGGGCCUGAAGCACUGCUGGGCUUUAUAGCUCUGUGCAGGCAGAAGUUUCUUAAUUGCUGGCUAAUGAUGCGGUGUGGGCACUGCCUUUUGCCCAGUGGUUAUGAAUUACUUUGUGCAGAUACACAAAACCCACAUCAAACAGAAAGCACAGGCAGGUCAUUCCAGUCUGACUGAGGGAGAGAAGGAGCGAGGCUAGCACAGAAAGGAGGGCAGAAAUAAACCAUAGCAAGGUUAGAAAUCCUAGAGUGGACAGUGACCUUAAAAGUGUGCUUCCUCCUGCUGCCUUUCAGCACAACUCCUGUCAUCCUGAUUGAAACUAUCAGAGGUGUUCUCUCUCCCUACAGAUAAAAAAGGCGGCAGCUUCUCACUGGAACCACCAAGGAAUUUUGAUCCUGUAAGAAAUGCCCUAUAAAAUGGGCCUGAGAGGGCUGUCUGAGUGGGGGAAAGUGCAAUUGGAUGUUACAUUUGCUUUUGUUGUGAUUGAUGUGACUCUGUCCGAUUUAUUUUCAAAUAUCAGAAUGGGUUCUGGAUGGAACUCUUGCAACCAAAACCUGUGAUCCAUUUGCCAAGAGCUGUUUUUACUCCAGUUGAGAACCGAUUUGUCUGGAUUUUGCCUUAGGCACAGUCCUUACCAUCUUCUGCCAGAGAUUUUUUCCCCCUGCAGACUUAAUCCAGGAUCCAGAUACAUGAUUGUUUAAAAUUUACAUUUAAAAAGGAGUAAAAGAUUGAUUGGAAUUCCAGGGGAGGAGAAGGAGGCAUGAUGAUAUAUUGGAAUCUUUUGUUCCCAGAAGAACCAGGAAAGAAUUAAGAUUAUUAAAGAAACGUAAUUUGGGUCAGACCAAGCAUCUAAAUCCACAUCAGUUAAAAAGAUGAUUUUCCCUACAUUUUUAAUGUGUUUGACACAAGCGUGUUUGAUUUAUGAUGGGAGUCAAAACCAUCUGUAUUUGGGGAACAAGCACAUACUUAUUUAAACAAUGGGGCUGCCUGGGGGGAGGCAUAGGAAAGAAAUGACAUUCUUUUGCAAAGAAUUCGGUGUUUUUCACUCCAUGAAGUAACUGGCACUGGUUUGAAAAGUGCUCUGCAGCAGGAACAGUAGCUCAACCUAUCUUAAAGGAGUCCAGCAGUUUACCUUUAUGCAAUUGGUAUGAUAGUGAACAAGGUUAUCACUGAUAAAGCUCUGCUAUUCCCUACUUUCCUUUCAGUGACCCCUGUGAAGAGAAUUGGUCUCAUUGGGCACCACUGAAAAGAGCCUGGCCCCAUUCAUUGGACUCCCUCCCUUCAGAUAUUAGGGACUUGUUCUAACUGCAGAUGAGGCUGAAGCAAAGGAACCGUUUCCUGAACAUGUCCUCAGCUCUCAUCUUGUGCUGAAAUAGUUUAUUUGAAGUUUUUCAGGGAAGAAGUGUUGAGGGCUAUCAGGAUGACAUCUACAGCGUUAAGUUCUAGCCUGUGCUGGGUGGAGAUUCCAUUCUGUAACCAGAUGCUGUGCUCCAUAUGGAUUGAUAUGAUUAGAAACAGGCUUGGAAAUAACAUUUAACUUUACCAGUCAGCUUCCCAGAGCUCCGUAAGCCAUGUGAAUGGAUGUUGUGCCCGCUGCUUCCUUUAAAUGCAUAACCUUGAAUCCAAGCAUCCCUGCACUUAUGGGACCUUCUUGGCAAGCUGUGGAACUGAUCUCCAAAGCUCAACACAGUCGAUAUCCCAUGACAAAGAUGUGCCUCACUGUAAAGCCCAGUGUAAACUAUGAACGUCAACAAAGGGGCCAGAGGAGAGACAGAAAUAUGUCUGCCCCUGCAAGGUUUCCACAUACGGAGAAAGCAGAAAGUAACAAUCUGCAUUUCAGCUGCUUUUCUAAAUGAAUGUAUUCAACCAUGUGGCGGGCCGGUAGCUUUCUCUUCCUGUGUGAGGCUAUGCCAAACUCGAGCGAGGAAGCCCAGGGUCUUUUAAAAGAAGGUGAGAAAAACUCAAUGGCAAGUGUAGAAUUUUAGAAAAGAGCCAAAGCCUCUGUCCACCCUCAGAAGAGCAGAACGACAGAGCUCUGGCAGCCACUGCAGCCACCACCGAUUUAUUUACGAGUUCCUGGAGUCGAUCCAGUGUAAUUAUGGGCCUGAACUCCAGAUCAGAUUCACUUGACAUUUGAGAAAGUCUGUGGAAAAACAGUAAUAAUAAACUGAUAAUAACCAUCCGUCUCGUAAGCAAUGAGAAAUAAAGGGAAGAGAAAGGGCAGGUGGGGAGAGGGGAAGGCAGCAUAAUCCCCAAAAGAUCUCCUGUUUGUCAGGAGAUACUCUCAGUGUACAACCCUGUGUAUUUUCUAGAAAGAGCUGCAGAGAAUUUUGGAGUAAGUCCUGAAUCAUGUCAAUGCUUUUGCUAUUACUGCACUGGAAAAAAUGAAGAUGGUGGGUGCAGAGGAAGCUGGGAUAAGUUGGGACGGCAGUUUCUCUUGGUGGAGCAGAUAGUUUGUGGCCCACAUGGCAUUUAUCCGAGCGUGCUCAUCACCUAAAUUACGUUACCAUGAAACCGUUGGCUUUGGAAAAAGAUGUUUGAAGAAACUAUGCUUCGGCGUUUGAUUUAUUUUCAAAUUCAUGCACUGAGUAGAAAUAGGCUUUGUUUGUAUUGUACUUUAUUGCAAGUCUCUCAUUCUGCCAGUUCAUAUCAUCGGUAUAACACGGAUGAGUAUUAGGGUUAAAAAUAUUUGUAUUUAAAACAUCUGCAGUCUUAUAUCAGGAUUUAUAUCCCAUUGUUUGAUCCUUCCCAUCUGAAUCACCCCGUAUUGUUUCCUAUUGAAUUGCUGGGAGAUGGCCUCACAAAGCAAACUCUCUGGGAGGUUUCCAGAAAAAAAAUAUUUUUCAAGUAAGAUAAGUUGAUUAAUUCUGCUGAAUGGAAAAGGCUUCUUCUAUGACAAGAAAGAGGCCUGACAUUUAGUUUACAGUUGUCUCAAGUAUUUUAUUUCAGGUGAUGGAAUUGAAUUGCAAGUUAUGAGUGAAUGUUUAAUGAAGCAAGAAGAGUUACGUUUGUGCUACAUCCAAACAGCAUUUGGUGAGUUUUCCUUAUGUCAGGUUUCAGGGCGUAUUAACUACGUAUGCAAAGAUACAACAGAGCCCAUAUAUGUCAAUAGGUUUUCUCAGAGGGAGCAUUCCAGUUAGUUGCUCUCAUCAGACAACAACCAAAUGUCGAGUGCCCUGGCAAUCAACACCGAGCGCCGUAACACUAGACGGUAUCUGAAGGAAAAGGAAUCCUGGGUGGAUGAAUGGGGUUAGUGGCCCAGAACAUGUCAUCUUCAAGUGACCUGCUUCGCCACACUCACGUAACUUCUCAGGAACACCUCCCUUGCAACAUGGGCAGUGUAGCUCCAGUUGUGAAGGAGAAAGGAUAUCGAAAAAGGAACAGCCACAGCUGUAUGCAGAACAAUGAAUGCGCACUUCUUUGAGCUCAGUCUCUGUGAACUGCACACGUUGGUUGUUCAGCCCGUUCUUCCUGAUCUGACAAUGGUAUCAAUUUUUUUCUGCUUAGGAACAUUUCUAGAAUUGUAGUUCUAUGUUAUUUAAAGCUUUUUUUUUUUUUUUUUUAAUUUUACAUUGACUUUUUAUUUAACUUUAAUUGACAUUUACUUAACAGUUCAGGUUACUGUGUUAUUUCUGUAUGCUUUGAUAUUUUCUUCUAUAAAUAUACAUCUCAUAGGUCUUGAGGAGGAGACUUAACAGUCUGGAGAUCUGGUGUAAGGUCAGUAACAAAAUGUAAUACACAGGAAUGCAAUAUAUUUUUUUCCUCUUACCUACCAUGCAUCUGGUUUUCACAGACAGGCCCUUUUCUUGGUCCUGGUAUUUCAUAGGAGCAGAAUGCUGACAGUUGUCUGGGACAGCCUGACCAGAAUAGCAGCUCAGCCUGAGCUGUUGGAUACCUAGAGAUCCCAGACACAUUCACCAUGCACAGCAGAUCAGCCCCACAGAGUAUGCAGUACUUCCACAGAAUUAGAACUUUGGAGCAUAUGUUGCCCAGAUGAACUGCACAACGCGUGGUAAACCCACUUACUGUGUGAAGUCAGACUAACCAUAUAAUUUAUGCACUAUACAUGUGAUGCACUGACAUGCUGGCCUCACAGUUAUCUUCUAUUCUGCAUAUGUAUAUGACUUCCACUGAGUAUUUCCUGGGCAUGAAGUGACUGUCUUUUUAUUUCCUUGCUUGUAUAUAUCGCAUGAUGAGACGCUGCUACUUGGAAAUAACUAAUUUUUGUUUGGGAUCAGCUCAUGAAAUUCUGCAAGGCUUUGUUGUAGAUGGUCGGCUGUGUUUGCAUCCAAACCACUGAACUCAGCGGAAUGUUGGAGCACAGCACUAUUGGAGGCACACUGAAUAAAGCUUUCAACUACUGACAGCAUCUGAAGAACAUCAGGAAAAUGCUGAAAGCCUAGGUAAAUAUCCUUCAGAAACCAGCUGGCAUGGCUGUGUGGGUUUCAGCACAGGGCCUGUCUGCCACAGAAUUUUCUUCAUGUUAUUUGGUGUUACAGUCCUCACAUGGAGCUCAUAGUUAUUAAAAUAAACAGCGCUUUUAGAAUAGAGCGCAGGAUUUUGAACUCCAUUCCUCUCUUGGCUUCCAGUGCCACGUAACAAUCUCAUGGCAGGAGUAAUCAAAAUAAUUCCGUGACGAGAAAAAUCACCCCAUUUUAACAAUCCCAGUUUGCUGUUCAUAACUAUUGCAUGAGUUAUUGGCACAAAUAUGGGCAUUAGGCAGUGUCUAAGAGGAGCUUAAUGUAGGUCUUCCAGAGGUACUGCCUUCCCUGGACAAUAUCAGGCUGCGCCCAUGUGCAUCCUAGAGACCUCAGGAAGAACAGAUUUUCUUUGCACAGUGAUACCAUCAUUUACCCAUUCCGUGAUUGAGGCACAAUGAAGGCUAUCAUCUGUGAUGUUAAUGGCUUUAAUAUACAGGCUCAUGCUAGGCGCAUAAAAGAAACUCCUCAGGCUUCUCGGCCUCAGCUGGCUGUGGAGCCACGGCAUGAGUUUGUAGUCUGGUUCUGCUUUCUGGAAUGACACAUGAAAAAAGGAUGGAGCAAGACAAGUGCCAAUCCGUUCGCACGCAGGGCUCUCCCCCCAUGGAAGACCCUAGAGAUUCCAGCUCCUUGCAUUUGUGUAAUUGGGCUUACCCAGUUGUCUGGGUAGCCAAAUUACACAAAUUCUGUUCCAUGGAAGUAUUGUUCUGCGUGGCUGUGUUUGUGUUUGCAACACUGUGAAGGAGAACUCAAAUUUUAAACAACAACGCAAAAAAAAAUAAAACAUGAAAUCAAGGUGUUUACUUGAAAACUCCUACAAUUAGAACUGCAAAUGUUUCAAUAUGUGCAACAUGUGAUUGCUUAUGUGGGACAGCAUGAGAGUGGACUGCCUAUUGGGAGCCCUUUUGGCUCUCAGUUUUGCAGAAUGUCUUGGCUGCAGAGGAAGGAUUGCUUUGCACUGCUUCGGAGGAACACCAUUUUGAUUCUAAAUAGUAAAUUCUCUGAACAAGUCAAGGCAGCAAGAGUACAUGGGAACUUCAAAUGAAUUUCCUUAAUUGUCUCAUCUGGAAAAGCCAAGAGGGAAGGAAUCAAAGAUUAAAAGUUUAAUCUUGAUAUUUUCACAAUAAAUGCUUUGAUUUUGGAUUUGGCAGUGACACAUCAGUUUUAUAUUUAGUUUAAUUUUGAAGAGUUGCAAAAUGGGUAAAUAAAUCUAUGAAACAGAACAGCUGGAAAAUUCACAACUGUGAAGGUUUUCAAAUUUCAGAAAUCUGUGGCCUAUGUGGCUCCAUAGGCAGCUCUGGGCACUACUCAGAGAUCCAGUAAUAUUCAAAGAUUCCAGUGAUAUUCCAGCAUGAAGCCGUGCCUUGGUGUCUUCAGCUGGCGCUAGAACUGCCUAGCAAGUAAUAUAAUAGCUGGAGGAAAAAAAAAUGGUGUGAUGCAGCAUGGCAACAAAUCUCUCUUCACUAAUACGUUCCGAAGAAUGGCUGCUGAAGCUGGGGAUGACCAAGGGAGCACCGAGUGCCUGGGAGAAUCUCUGCAGAGUAGUUGCAUUGCUGUGAACUCCACCAUGCUGCUGGAAUAGAAAGGAAGAGCCAGAUCAGAAGCAGUCACACAGGAGAAGGUUUCUGAAAGCCCAGUGGGCUUUAUGUCAUGAGAAGGUCACGAGCAGUGAGCUGUCAAACUGUGCAUUGAGGCCUUACUUCUGCUGUAAAGUUAUGGCUGUAUUACUGUACCAGAAGAGAUCACUGUUCCUGGGCAUAUGCAAGCAAACUCUUCACAUCACCAGACAUCAUUGGAAGUCUGAACAGCACACUGAAUUUCCAGCUUUGUGGCUUCUAUGAUUGAUUAAAAAGACACUCACAACCUGUGAAGAUUAAAUAACUUUAAAAUGAAUAUGAAAUACAUUUUGUAUCCUUAUAUUGAUGAAACUACUUCUGGAAAUAAAGAGAUUUAAUUUAGUACUUUUUGUUUCUUGUGCAAAUUGUGGUAUCCCUAUCAAUGUAUGUCUUAUUAGACAACUAGUUACAACAUUUUUUCAUAGAAUCAAUGCAAAAUUCAAGGAAUAUCAUAAGAAAGGGAAGUCUAGUCUUCUGCUCAAAACAGGACUAGCUUCAAUAUUAGGUCAGGUUGCUCUGGGUUUUGUCUAGUUGAGUUAUGAGUACUUGCCAGAAUGGUCUCCACAAGU
ensembl:lncRNA